rnacentral:rRNA from 1 species
UUAAAUUGAAGAGUUUGAUCAUGGCUCAGAUUGAACGCUGGCGGCAGGCCUAACACAUGCAAGUCGAACGGUAACAGGAAGAAGCUUGCUUCUUUGCUGACGAGUGGCGGACGGGUGAGUAAUGUCUGGGAAACUGC